GAUGAACGCUGGCGGCGUGCUUAACACAUGCAAGUCGAACGGAAAGGCUCCUGCUUGCAGGGGUACUCGAGUGGCGAACGGGUGAGUAACACGUGGGUGAUCUGCCCUGCACUUCGGGAUAAGCCUGGGAAACUGGGUCUAAUACCGGAUAGGACCACAUUUUGGAUGGUGUGGUGGAAAGUUUUUCGGUGUGGGAUGAGCUCGCGGCCUAUCAGCUUGUUGGUGGGGUAAUGGCCUACCAAGGCGUCGACGGGUAGCCGGCCUGAGAGGGUGUACGGCCACAUUGGGACUGAGAUACGGCCCAGACUCCUGCGGGAGGCAGCAGUGGGGAAUAUUGCACAAUGGGCGCAAGCCUGAUGCAGCGACGCCGCGUGGGGGAUGACGGCCUUCGGGUUGUAAACUCCUUUCGCUAGGGACGAAGCGUUUUUGUGACGGUACCUGGAGAAGAAGCACCGGCUAACUACGUG
rnacentral:rRNA from 1 species